UUCUUUCUGUUGGGGUAAUUUUUCUAAUGUUUUUUUUUUUAUUUUUACAGAUAUUGACAUACACACAGGUACGUAAGCCAAAACACAAUUUCUAGUCGGAUCCAUGCUUCAUUCUUCCUUUUCUAAUCCUAAUUUGCUGCUCUCCAUCUAAUUUAGUUCCUGGACUAAUAGUCAAGCAUCUUAAUUACUAUCACACAACGAGAGAUAAGAAGGCUAGGGCAAGAACCUAUUGGCCUCAUCUGCUCGCUCCUUGAAUCUAGCCUCCGUUCCAGCUCCGCCGCUCGUACUAGCCGGGAAACCGCCAC
rnacentral:lncRNA from 1 species